GACGAACCGUGCGAACGUUAUUCGGAAUCACUGGGCUUAAAGCGCGUGUAGGCGGCAGGGCAUGUCGGAUGUGAAAUCCCGUGGCUCAACCACGGAAGUGCACCCGAAACUGCCCAGCUUGAGUCUCGGAGAGGAAGGCGGAAUGCUUGGUGUAGAGGUGAAAUUCGUAGAUAUCAAGCGGAACACCGGUGGCGAAGGCGGCCUUCUGGACGAUGACUGACGCUGAGACGCGAAAGCGUGGGGAGCAAACAGG
rnacentral:rRNA from 1 species